rnacentral:rRNA from 1 species
GAUGAACGCUGGCGGCGUGCCUAAUACAUGCAAGUCGAGCGAAUGGAUUGAGAGCUUGCUCUUAUGAAGUUAGCGGCGGACGGGUGAGUAACACGUGGGUAACCUGCCCAUAAGACUGGGAUAACUCCGGGAAACCGGGGCUAAUACCGGAUAACAUUUUGAACCGCAUGGUUCGAAAUUGAAAGGCGGCUUCGGCUGUCACUUAUGGAUGGACCCGCGUCGCAUUAGCUAGCUGGUGAGGUAACGGCUCACCAAGGCAACGAUGCGUAGCCGACCUGAGAGGGUGAUCGGCCACACUGGGACUGAGACACGGCCCAGACUCCUACGGGAGGCAGCAGUGGGGAAUUGUUCGCAAUGGGCGCAAGCCUGACGACGCAACGCCGCGUGGAGGAUGAAGAUCUUCGGGUCGUAAACUCCUGUCGAGCGGGAAGAACACUUUCCGGAUGAACAAUCCGGAAGGCUGACGGUACCGCUAAAGGAAGCCCCGGCUAACUCCGUGCCAGCCGCCGCCGUAA